GACAGAGGGUGCAAACGUUGUUCGGAAUUACUGGGCGUAAAGCGUGUGUAGGCGGUCCGCUAAGUCGGGUGUGAAAGCCCUGGGCUCAACCCAGGAAGUGCACUCGAAACUGGCGGGCUAGAGUAUCGGAGAGGUUGGUGGAAUUCUCGGUGUAGAGGUGAAAUGCGCAGAUAUCAGGAGGAACACCGGUGGCGAAGGCGGGUCUCUGGGCCGAAACUGACGCUGAGGAGCGAAAGCGUGGGGAGCAAACAGG
rnacentral:rRNA from 1 species